ensembl:lncRNA
UAAAAGUCUCAUCUAGUUUUUAUGAGGAAUGUGAUGUUUUAAUUUCUCUGUGAAUAACUGCAGUCUAAUGGAACAGCUGGAGUUGUAACAUCUGUCCUGAUAUUGAUCAUGAAGUAUUGAUCAGAAUACUUAUGGUCAGCAGUCAUCCCUGAAGUUUUACAUUAAAACCUUUACUUGUGUUGUGAACUUUGAUAAGAAGCAGAAACGUUAGCGUUGCCAUGGAUACAUGAGUGUUAAAUUCUGUCCAUGUUUCCAUUUUGGGAAAUGCAGUCCAGUUCCAGAAUGUGGAGGAAUUUAGUCUCACAAUCACAGACAAAUAUUAUCUGAAAGUGGGGUUAUUGUUGUUUAUCAGCACAAUACAAAAAGAUUAAUGUUAGAAAUAUUCCAGUUAAGACUCUAGAAUAUCAUGAUUUAUGUAAAUUUACCUCAAUAAUAUGAAUGUUCAGGUUAAGAUUGUGCAGUGAUAUUUAUUAUGCAAGUUUAGCUGAUUAAAGUUUAUGACUCUGCACUAAAAUAUUAUUUAAAUUGACAUCAUUAUUAUAAUAUUUAGGGUCAGACCCUACAGUAUUGAGAUUAAGAAAUCAAAUAUUCUAUAAAAUGUAAAUACACUGAACUCAUUUGGAUAUAUUUAAGUGAGACUCUACAAUAUUAUUUGACACAAAUCUAUCUAAAUCAAAAUUUUAAUAAUUUUCACGCCAAACAUUUACUGGACUGAUUUAAAUAUUAAAAUCACUCCUUUCUAAUCCUCUGCUGUACGUUCAAACUUGAGGCCUUAAAUGGAAACACACAAGUAUUUUAUUGAAGGAACUUCUGCAGAGUCCUGGUUCCAGAACAUGAUGAUAGAAUUAUAGACAAACUUUAACAAAAGCUGCCUGAGAGUUUGCAGGUUUUUAUGUUGGAUUUCUUCAGUAAUUUAAUGAGCGUUAUCAGCAAUAAUCAAGUGUUCAUUUGAUGAACUUCAUUUCCUAAAACAUCCAGAAUUGGAGCUCAUAUCUUUGGCAGCUGUAAAGUUUCUGCUCCUUCAAAGAUCACAACACAAUGAAUGAAUUCCUAAAACACUCUCAAUGCUGGAGAGUGUUUGUGAUGCUGAAGCAGUGAUCAGUUUUUCUGUUUCUUCUCUGGAGAUGCACAAUGAGGGACGUCUGCAGAGACUGAGAAAGAGUCUCACCACAUCCUGACAUGAGGAAAAAGACUUUAUUGAAGACUACAAUGAGAAAAACUAUCAGACAGCAGACGGCUGCAUUCAAGCUGCUGAAUUCAUGGAUGAAUCAUCUGGCACUAGAGAAGAAGACCAUCAAACAUCCACGUCAGCUGAUGGAGGUCCAAGAGUCUCACCGAACAACCAACCUACAGAGUGAAGACCUCAAAUCUGAUUGGACGGCCUCCUAUUCAGCCACAUGUGUGAACAAAUGCCUCUAAGCUGAUUUGUUUUCUAAAAUAAAUCUAGUUUGAGUCCUAAUCUAUGCCUGAGUGUUUGCUUCUUUACACU